CCAGGGUCCCUUCUAAGGAAGUCCAGGCAUGCACUGGUGUGCCUGACCCAGGGGAGCCCUCCAAACCACCCAACAUCCAGGUACAAUGGCCCAGUCUCCGUGCAGUGCUGUAGGGCAAGAGGGGCGGCCCAUUUCCAAGCCAAGAUGGCCUCCUCCUCCUCUCUACACUUGCUCCUUGGCUAGCUCACUCAUACCUUCACUUGCUUCCAGCAGAUUUUCCACUAUGCAAGAAAAGCUAAGGGCUAAGAGGGUCACUUGACAUCGUAGAAUCCAAAAGUCCACCACAAUUAUCAACAUAAUCCCUGUCCUGACUGCACCUGCCGGCCCUGCCCGGAGGAAGUGGACCCUGGAGCCCUGGAAAGGAUGGGUUAGUUGGCUGUCAGUUCCUGGCUUGGCCAACACUGUGCUCCAGCUUCUGGGAACUCACGUUUUCUUUCUCCUUUUUUUUUUUUUUUUUUGAGACAGGAUCUCACUUUGUU
rnacentral:lncRNA from 1 species